CCCGGAGAGUCCCCUGGUAGAGAGUCCCCUGGUGGGCCCCAGGGCCAGGCGAUGCUACAGAGGAGAGAGGUCCAACUCCUGCUCCUCAUCUAGCACUGCUACAGCUACAUACAGGUCUCCAGUGUUGAGGCGACAGGCUAUGUUGGCCAGUAGUUGUUCCCAGUUGGAGCUGCUAGGGGCGCCACCUCUCGCCAGCGCUCCUCUAUCCUAGAGAAACGAGUCAGGCCUUGCACCCCUUUACGACGCGGUUCUGCCUCUGCCCCUGCCUCUGCAGCUCCUCCCACUUCCUCAUCCUCAGCUGUCAAUCAGCAGGGUGGUCACGGCAACGGCGUACCCCUCCCCCUACAGCCGUUGUACUUGCGUCGUCAGGGCGGAAGGAGCGAGAGGGGGGAUAGUGACGGGCUUCUGCCCCUAGUGAGGUCACACAGCGAGCCUGGCCUCAGCUCUUCUGCUGAUACAGUUGACUUCAGUGGUGGCUCAGUGGGCAGUAAAGGAGUGAGGAGGGCUCUCAGACCUCUACAGACACAGGUCCGUCCUCCGAGGCAUGCCUGCUACCCCGCUCCUCUCUGGUGCCCCCUCAGCCCUCCUCCCCAGGAAGGGCAGUGUGAAGGCAGCCACCAUGGGGCGCACCUUGCCCCCUCCAAAGGCCCUGCCAACUCUCCCUUGCACCUGCCCAAAGAAUGCAACCGCUCUCUUGGGGACCUCAAGG
ensembl:lncRNA